rnacentral:lncRNA from 1 species
ACUUAAAAAAUAUUCACAAUAUAUUUUUAAUAUGCAUAGUUACAUAUAACAAAUAAUAAAAACAAUUGAAAAAAAAAAUGGCGAGGCAUUAGGCUGGCUCGUCUUUCGAAGGGACGAGCUAAAAUUUUCACCCUAUUUUCGUGAGUAACUAACCUGGCCCAAUUUAUCUUAGGAAGAUCAAUAAUAAAACAUGUUGGGGGCGUUGUGCUCUCCACCUCCUCAUUUUCUCCCUCUACCUCCCCAACUUUCAGUUUCUUUCUUUUUAAUACAAAAUUAUCCUUUUUCUUUACUUUUUUAUCCUUUUUCCUUUUUUUUUUUUACUUUUAAUGUUAUUUAGGAGGGUAACCACUGAAUCCUAAUUUUUACUCUCCUCAGAGCCGCACCUCCCCCUUAGUUUUAUUAUGCUGAUAGCCCACCUCUCCCAAAUUUUAAGUUCCGCCUCUUCUUCUUCCACGUUCGUGACUUUUUUUUUCUCUUGUUGACUUCUCUUUCAAAUUCUCUAAACUCUAACUUUGCUUUCCAUAGUGGUGUGUGGUGCGGUGGUGUUGGGGUUUCGGUGGUAGUGGUGGGCAUUGGUGGUGCGUGGUGCAGUGGUGUUUCUGCACAACACGUGUGUUCCCAUGAACAAUGUCUCUGAAGCUGCAUAUGGAGCUGCAAGAAGACCCUACCUUUGAGUGCCCUUUUGAAGGGUCAUGAACCCUCGACCCUUCCAUCUACUUGCAGGUUAAGAGGUUUUUGAUUUGAUCCCAUGAAGAAGCUGCUUUCUGUUUCUGUUUCUGCUGUUGUUGUGGUUUUCGUUUAUGGCGUUUUGGGGUGGUGGAGUGCUCAAGCAAGAAAGUUAAGAGAGCCAUGAAAGAGAGUCUUGUGAAGUAAAAUGGUAAUUCUCUCUCUGUGUUUCAUACAAUGAAAAAAGGUUAUCUUUUGAAGUUAUGAUUUUUUCUUUUUUUUGUGUAUAAAUGAGAGACAGUAUUCGGAAUGUAAUAAAUAAGUAUAUGUGUUCCUUCCUCUUCCUUCAUUCAUAUAUUCUUUCUCCACUUUAAAGAUUUUAACAGAGGGUCGUGGGCUGCUUGUCAUUCAACUAAAAAUUUAUAAAUUUAUGGUAUGGGAUGGGAGAUUUGAAUUUCUCAGUUAGAAGUUGGAUUUGAUUUUAUUUGUGAAAGUGUAAUUGGAUGUCUCUGAAUGAAUAAAAAAAAUUGAAAGAUAUGAAAUGGUAAUUAAUAUUUAAUAAAUUGUUAUGAGAAAAGGAACUUUGACAAGAUGGGGUGAAUGGAAAGGUGGCGCAUUGAUUCGUCUGCCAUUAAUGGAAUAUAAACAAUCCAUUGCAUAUUUCUAGGUGCCGGUUGCAAUUUGCAUUUUAAAAUGUUGACAUUCGUUUUAUCUGAAACGGAAACUGACAUCCGUUUUUAUCUGAAACGGCUAUUGAUAUCCGUUAAUGGAUAUUUAUAUUUGUUUAAAGAUUUUUACAUAUUGAAAUUUUUCACUCCUUCAACAAUUCUUUUGAGGAACAUGUUACUCACCAUAAAAGAACAAUGAAUGUAAAAGAGAAUGAAAUAUCUUGUAUUCUAAAACUGAGUAAAAAUUAUAAAACUUUAACUCUAAAAAUAGAUAGGGUAAAUUGAAAGGAAGGGGGAGGUGGACGAAGAAAACGGGGAGGUGUAGGGAGUAACGCCCAACAUGUUGUUACUCUUAAAGUUAACGUAGGUGAGGGUAAUGGAGAGGAUUUGAGAAGAUUUAAAGAUAAAUUUUUUUGUUGUUUAUUUGAAUAGAUUUGGAGAUAAGUGAGAGUGAAUUUGGAAGUAAAUUUUUUUAAUCUGUCACAUAAAUUAAAUUCCUAUACUAAUUCUCACCAACUUUACUUCAAAAGUCACUCUCGUUUACCUUCAAAUUCACUUAAAUAAACAACAACAAAAAAAUUACCUCUCAAAUCUACUCAUUUAUUAUUUCUCAAAUCCACU